AAUUCGUGAGUCCGGCAUCCGAGACCGUCGCAUCUGACGAUCCGCAGAUCGUGGCUAAGGAGGGGGUCCGCAACCUGAUACAACGCAAGACGAGAGAAAUCGAUGAGUCAAAGCCUAUUGUCAUGACGAUGACCGUUGGCAGCCAAGCCGGCUACACCUCGCAAGACGUUGCGAAAUAUAUAAGUGUACUCUCACAAUUCCGCAACUUCAAAUUUGUACUCUUUCUGGACAGCGAGGAUAAGUUCCUAGCCUAUAUGCCGUCGUGGGCCUUGAAUCACUUGCGUCAGGUCGAGGAACUUGCGGGGGAAUUUCUGAACGCAAUCAACCUGGGACAGACGGCGCAAGUGCUUCGAUACCCUAGUAGUC
rnacentral:rRNA from 1 species